GUUACCUAAACUCGAGUUUAAUUUAAUUAGUCCAGUGGGGGUUCUCUACUGUGAGGUGUGUUCCUAAAGAAUGUCUAACCAACAAAGACCAUUUUCAUGGUUUCGUUUAGCUCCUUUUGGUCGCCAAACACAACCAACUCCACCACCAACCCCUCGGCCAACAGCAUUUCGAUCUCCUGCUCCACGACCAUAUAGGCCUCCUGCCCCUCAGCCUCGACCAACCAUUCGACCACCUGCUGCCACAUCUCCUCCUCCACCUGCUACUCCAAUUCGAGCAUUUUUCCCUGCACCAAAAUCUCCAACACCAUCUACUGCCCCUGUCUCUCCAGCCAAAUCAAUACUUUCUUCAUCACCUACAUCUCCUGCAUUUCUCCCAAUUGCUUCCUCUUCCUUCAGUUUAAAAAGCCCUGAAACCAAGACCCCUGCCCCUUAUUCCUCUUCAUUGACAACUGCUCCACUCCCAAAACCAACAGCACCUCCACCUCCUUCCCCUGCCACCACCACUCUCACUGCUCCUACUACUUCAAGAACCGUCAAGCCAUGGAACGAAUCUCCACCAAAAUUACACCCCGAAACAAAGCCUCUGUUUCGUCUAGCCGGGAAAGAAGCCG
rnacentral:misc_RNA from 1 species